GUACUGAAACAGUUAAAUAUUCCCCUCCUAAGGGGAAGGUUGUGAGUUCGAACCUCGCCUGGGACGCCA
rnacentral:tRNA from 1 species